GGAAAAUGCAAAUACGGCAUCUUUAUUUUUUAUAUUUCAGAAGAUAGAGGGGUCCUUUUUUAUCACAGGUGCCAUCGGUGAAAAAGACUGCCCAAUAUGCGAAGGCUGCGCAUUAGCGCAAAAUGGCAGGAAUGAUUUCACUACGAGCCAUCAGCUCCGAUGACGAUGCCGAUGACGACGUCGUACCAAAAGAAUUGCUCAUUGAAGAGCAAAAAAAAAAUGCAACGCUCUGCCGCAGACUGGCACUUCUAAGAGAGAAAGACGAGCUGCAGGCACGGCAUGAUCGCCUGCAGGAUGACCUUCUCAACAGACUCGGUACAACUGGGAAGUAGUGUCUGGGUGGAAAAAAGGAGGUGGGAGCUGCUGCUGGGGCGUCACCGGGACACCCUCUUCUGCAAGGGAGUUGCGAAGCUGGUGUGGGCCGGCACUUAGAGGUCGGAGCGUCACAGGGGCUCCUUGUCGGUGGUACCUCAAGGAGGGCAACGCCAACGAGAAGCCGGCAUUGAGCCCUCAUAAAUUGGACGCUGUAGGAUACACAUGUCGCAAGUUCAGCAGAAGCACUGUGCAACUCAAGAGCAGUUCGUCCUUUAUGCGAGCAGAAAAAUGAAGACUGUUUUU